GAUUAAUCUAAAGUCGAGAUACACACGUGCGCACACCCAGACCCAGACACAGUAAUGUUACAUCAUUUUCAAUGAAGCAUUUUAUAUGCUUAGCUGCAGUACUGGACAUAAAAUUCAAGAGAUCUAGAUGGAGCUGAUUCAAAGAGUUCUAAAAUGAAGAUUCAUCCGCCUUGCUCGUUUGUCCGGUCGCCAGCCAACGAGGCUUUAAAAACCAUUGAAAGAGGAGUCGCGCGGGGCUACGAGCAAAGCGGAAGGGCAGUUCGCGCGUUCCGCAAAUCAUCGUUGUAACUGUUCGCCUUUCGAAGUUUGAAAAACUUAUUAUUCAACUUUUGCAUAAGUCUCAUACGACGUAUACAGCAUG